rnacentral:lncRNA from 1 species
UGAGGGUGAAGGUGAGGGAGUGAGGGUUUGGUGGUCUUUUCGGAACUGUUACUGGGAUGGUCAGAUGGGGGAGAGGGAGACAGACAUGAGAGUGUGGUGUGAGGGUGUGGGAUUUACAAUUUAGCCUAGGUAGUGUACUACCUUUUUAAAAAAUAUAUUUUUAAACUAUUUUUUUAUUUUUAUUUUUUCGUUUUGGACUGAACUUUUGAGUUUUUGGCGUUUGAAUCAAUUGGGCGUUUUUCCCUAGGCUUGGGCCAACCUAAAGUAGCCCACCUUUUUA